rnacentral:tRNA from 1 species
UAGAUUAAAGUCCGCUGGAUUGGGCGUUCGGUUGUUAACUGAAAACUUGCGGGAUCAAGGCCCGUUGAUCUAG